rnacentral:rRNA from 1 species
UACGUAGGUGACAAGCGUUGUCCGGAUUUACUGGGCGUAAAGAGCGCGCAGGCGGUCGUUCAAGUCGAGUGUGAAAGCCCCCGGCUCAACUGGGGAGGGUCACUCGAUACUGAUCGACUCGAAGGCAGGAGAGGGAAGUGGAAUUCCCGGUGUAGUGGUGAAAUGCGUAGAUAUCGGGAGGAACACCAGUGGCGAAGGCGGGUCUCUGGGCCGAUACUGACGCUGAGGAGCGAAAGCGUGGGGAGCGAACAGG